AAUAGAUACCCAGGUAGUCCACGCCGUAAACGAUGAAUGCUAGGUGUCAGGGGUUUCGAGACCCUUGGUGCCGAAGUUAACACAUUAAGCAUUCCGCCUGGGGAGUACGGCCGCAAGGCUGAAACUCAAAGGAAUUGACGGGGACCCGCACAAGCAGUGGAGCAUGUGGUUUAAUUCGAAGCAACGCGAAGAACCUUACCAGGUCUUGACAUCCCUCUGACCGGUGCAGAGAUGUGCCUUCCCUUCGGGGCAGAGGAGACAGGUGGUGCAUGGUUGUCGUCAGCUCGUGUCGUGAGAUGUUGGGUUAAGUCCCGCAACGAGCGCAACCCUUGGCUUCAGUUGCCAGCACGUUAAGGUGGGCACUCUGGAGCGACUGCCGGUGACAAACCGGAGGAAGGCGGGGAUGACGUCAAAUCAUCAUGCCCCUUAUGACCUGGGCUACACACGUGCUACAAUGGCCGGUACAGAGGGCUGCGAAGCCGCGAGGCGGAGCCAAUCCCAAAAAGCCGGUCUCAGUUCGGAUUGC
rnacentral:rRNA from 1 species